GAAGUUAUUUAUCUAAAACAUGUGCAUAGGCUGUUGAGAAGGACACUUUACCUAUGUUUGAAUUGUCUUUUACCAUUACUUUACAUUCAUAUUUGUAAAUUUAAUAUCAGUGGAAAAUACAUGGUACCCCAAUCGUAGAAUCUCUCAUUCUGUGACAGAAUUUAAGGAAUUUGAAACUGCAGUAUACUAAAUAGCUUCCUUUUUAGGUUUAUAGAUGAAUCACUCUGUGCCUGUCAGCAUUUACCUUUUUACUUUCAGAAUUCCAGAUUUUUUUUUCUGAAUUGUGUUGGCAUGCUUUCUUCAUACUGAAAUGAACAUUUAAGGACCGGAUGACAUGUUUAAUGGUGAUGUUUUGAAAUGGAUGUUUCAUGUGUUUUACAGUACCCUCUACUAAUAUUGGCAUCCUUGGUAAAUAUGAGCAAAAAAUUGUCUUUAUUGUUUAACCUUUUGAUAUUUUCUUCAAACAAUUCACAAAAAUACUCUGCUCUCGUGGAUAGCAAACAAUUACCAACACAACACAGUUAUAUAAACACAAUCUUUGUUAAAUAAAACAUAAUCUCCAAGGAUCACAGCUGGAGAAUUGCAGAAGUUAAUUGCAUUCUGGGGUCAGAAAGUCUCCAAAACUACAAUCCAAAGUCACCUACAUCAACACAAAUAGUUUGGAAGGGUUUCAGGAAAAAAGCCUCUAUUCUCAUCCAAAAACAAACUCAAGCAUCUUCAGUUUGCCAGACACUACUGGAACUUCAAAUGGGAUCAGGUUCUAUGGUCAGAUGAAAUCAAAAUAGAGCUUUUUGGCAAUAAACACCAGAGGUGGUUUUGGCACACACAGAGAGUACCACAUGCCCACGGUUAAAUAUGGUGGUGGCUCUUUAAUGUUUUGAGGCUGUUUUUCUGCCAGUGGACCUGGACAUUUUGUUAGGAUACAUGGCAUCAUGGACUCUAUCAAAUAUCAACAGGUGUUAAAUGAAUACCUGACUGCCUCUGCCAGAAAGCUUAAAAUGGGCCGUGGUUGGAUCUUCCAGGAGGACAUUGAUCAAAAUCAACACAAAAAUGGUUUAAUGGACAUAAAAUAAAGGUUCUCCCCUUGUCAUCUCAGUCCCCUGACUUGAAAUCCAUAGAAAACCUUUGGGGUGAACUGAAGAGGAGAGUCCACCAGCACGGACCUCGAAAUUUUAAGGUUCUGGAGAGAUUCUGUAUGGAGGAAUGCUCUCAGAUCCCUUGUCAUGUAUUCUCCAGGCUCAUCAAGCAUUAGAGAAGACUCUGAGCUUUAAUCUUGGCAAAGGGAGGUAGCACAAAGUAGUGAAUAAAAGGGUGUCAGUAAUUGUUGCGCACCUAUAUUUAACAAAGAUUUUUUUUUGAUAAAUCUGUAUUUUGUUUGCAAUUGUUUGAUAUCCAUGAGAGCAGAGUAUUUUUGUGAUUUCUUUGAACAAAUGAUCAAAAGGGUUAAACGAUAAAGACAAUUUUUCACAGGCUUCUUUGCUCAUAUUUACCAAGGUUGCCGACAUUAGUGGAGGGCACUGUACAUAUUGAAACAUUUAAUAGAAUUAAACAUAAAAAACAAAAUACAUUUAUGCUUAUAAUCUGAUGCUUACAGUUUGCACCUGUUUCUCAAAAGCAUCACAUACUUAAAUUAUGUGAGCUUCAAACUCAAAUGAUUCAUACCACUCUGUAUGCUUUAAAGCCUAAGAUAGUGGUCAGACAUUUUCAUAAAUAUCAAAGAGCAGGUGUUUACCAUUAGUUCUCCAAGUGCCCUGCACUGAUCUCACACUAUUGUGUUUUUGCACUUUAUGUAGUCCUAUAACCAUGAUCCUGAAGAAAUGGCAUGUCAUUUGACUGCAUACGAGUUACAUGAGGGAAAGACAAUAAAACCCACGUGGUUUGCAGUAGUAUCUUUAACAAUCUUGUCAAAUUUUAUGAAAUUCUCUGUCCUAGACUAACAUGCCUUAUCAGAUGAUAGAUUGUUAAUAUUCUGUUAACCUGUGCAAGCCUUGAGGUGAAUACUAUUCACAACAAACUGAAACUGUCAGUAUGAAAACUAUGACUGGAAUGGAAUGCUCAUAGGAGGCCUCUUGUUAAAAAAAAAAUGGACAAAAGGGAGCAAAACCGUAGCUAAAAUUGGCAGCCAUUUAGUCAUGGCUUAAACUUGGAAAAGUUCCAGAAGCUUGUUUUCUUAUUUAAAAAAACUAAUUCUGUCAGUACUGUUCAAAAGUCUUAAACCAUACUGCUUAAGGCUGUAAGACGGUACUGAUCAAUCCGUAAACACACAACUAUUUGUUGUAAUACAUAUUAGAUUAAUUACAACUUAACAGUAGUAUGGUAAAAGUAACAAAAUAUUAGUGUAUUUUCCAAGAAGUUAUUUAUAUUUUGUCAGAUUGUUAGCAGAACAUGUUUGCUUCCCAAACCUCUACUUUGGGCACCUCAGCUGUUACACGCAUUUGUUAAAUUCCACCACCAUCUCAUCAGUGUCACUAUUCAUUGAUGAAGCUCCCCAGGUGUGCUAAUGCUGGAACACAUAAAUACAGUGACAUUUUUGUAUUAAAAUGACUAAACCAUCUCAUUGACACAUGGAUGGAAAUAUCUUCUUUGAUUAAAGAAAAGAAAGAAAAAACAAAGCUGUUAUUGUCAACGAUAAAUAGUCCACCAAAAUAAACUUUCGCAGUGUGACAUGUAAAUGGCCAUUUACACCAUGAAUUUAAAGAAGCUGUUAAAGUUGUGAGUAAAUAAUGUGGUGCAAGUCCCAAAACAUGUUCUAUAUAUUAAAUGUUUAUUAAAGCAUGGUUUCCACAAAUUGUGUUGUAGCUAAGAAACCAUUAUAUUAGUCUUAGAGGUCAAUGAGU
ensembl:lncRNA